AGCGUAGACGGUGUGGCAAGUCUGAUGUGAAAGGCAUGGGCUCAACCUGUGGACUGCAUUGGAAACUGUCAUGCUUGAGUGCCGGAGGGGUAAGCGGAAUUCCUAGUGUAGCGGUGAAAUGCGUAGAUAUUAGGAGGAACACCAGUAGCGAAGGCGGCUUACUGGACGGUAACUGACGUUGAGGCUGAAAGCGUGGGGAGCGAACA
rnacentral:rRNA from 1 species